rnacentral:rRNA from 1 species
UACGUAGGGGGCGAGCGUUGUCCGGAGUUACUGGGCGUAAAGCGCACGCAGGCGGUCUGUGAAGUUUGGAGUGACAGUUGGUGGCUCAACCACCAAAGUGCUUUGAAAACUGAUAGACUUGAGGGCUUCAGAGGGACACAGAAUUCCGGGUGGAGUGGUGAAAUGCGUAGAGAUCCGGAGGAACACCAAAGGCGAAGGCAGUGUCCUGGGGAGUACCUGACGCUCAGGUGCGAAAGCCAGGGGAGCGAACGGG